rnacentral:tRNA from 1 species
GGGGUUGUUGCUCAGAGGUAGAGCAGACACCUAGCACGUGGGAGGGCCUGGGUUCAAUCCUCAGCACUACA